rnacentral:rRNA from 1 species
CCUACGGGGGGCAGCAGUGAGGAAUAUUGGUCAAUGGGCGGGAGCCUGAACCAGCCAUGCCGCGUGAAGGCGAGUGCCCUACGGGCGUUAAACUUCUUUUGUGCGGGAGCAAUAAGGGCCACGUGUGGCCCGAUGAGAGUACCGCACGAAUAAGCAUCGGCUAACUCCGUGCCAGCAGCCGCGGUAAUACGGGGGAUGCGAGCGUUAUCCGGAUUUACUGGGUGUAAAGGGAGCGUAGACGGUUAAGUAAGUCUGGAGUGAAAGGCCGGGGGCCAACCCCGGGACUGCUCUGGAAACUAUUGAACUUGAGUGCAGGAGAGGUAAGCGGAAUUCCUAGUGUAGCGGUGAAAUGCGUAGAUAUUAGGAGGAACACCGAUUGCGAAGGCAGCAUACCGGCGCUCAACUGACGCUCAUGCACGAAAGUGUGGGUAUCGAACAGGAUUAGAUACCCUAGUAGUC